AGGAAAGUCAAACAAAGGAAUUCAGAUCUCGUUAUGCACUGAUUUACUGAAAGAUCAGGAGUGCUUAUAAGCCGGCAUACUGUUUCACAACUUCAAUGCACUCUGGCAAACAGAAAGACACAACACAAGCAGCUACUGAUCAACAACCUUACAACGUUAACUGAUAAGAGCAAUGGCCAGAACAUGGAACUAUUCCUGUGAGUCAAGACUUCAGCAAUACCUUGAUAUUUGUGAAUUAUGCAGAAUUUGCUUAUAAUACACAGACUUAUCCAGCUCUAUUGCCUAGAGAAAAACACAUUUUAUCAUCACUAUUCAUGCCUUCCAUUCUUGACACCUCUUUGAAAGCACAAGAAGUGCUGCCUUGUGUAACAUUGUGGUCAUCCGCUCUAGGGAGAGAUUCCUGCUACAUUAUGAGUUGGUGUUCUAUCCUGCCAUCUUCUCUGAAUUAGCAAAUGUGAAAUGCAGCAUAUGGAUUUAUGAAAAGA